AUCCCUGUAUCGCAGUGGAUAGCGUGUUGGACUUCUUAUCCAAAGGUCGUGUGUUCCAAUCCCACUUGGGAUA